UACUUAUCCAGAGAGGUGGAGGGACUGGCCCGAUGAAACCUCGGCAACGGGUUUGCUAUUUUUGCAAAUACCGUGCUAAUUCCUGCAAAUCGAGAAAUCGAUUUGAAAGAUAAGAA
rnacentral:ncRNA from 2 species